rnacentral:rRNA from 1 species
UUUUUAGAGUUUGAUUCCCUGCUCAGGACGAACGCUGGCGGCGUGCCUAAUACAUGCAAGUCGAACGCUUCUUUCCUCCCGAGUGCUUGCACUCAAUUGGAAAGAGGAGUGGCGGACGGGUGAGUAACACGUGGGUAACCUACCCAUCAGAGGGGGAUAACACUUGGAAACAGGUGCUAAUACCGCAUAACAGUUUAUGCCGCAUGGCAUAAGAGUGAAAGGCGCUUUCGGGUGUCGCUGAUGGAUGGACCCGCGGUGCAUUAGCUAGUUGGUGAGGUAACGGCUCACCAAGGCCACGAUGCAUAGCCGACCUGAGAGGGUGAUCGGCCACACUGGGACUGAGACACGGCCCAGACUCCUACGGGAGGCAGCAGUAGGGAAUCUUCGGCAAUGGACGAAAGUCUGACCGAGCAACGCCGCGUGAGUGAAGAAGGUUUUCGGAUCGUAAAACUCUGUUGUUAGAGAAGAACAAGGACGUUAGUAACUGAACGUCCCCUGACGGUAUCUAACCAGAAAGCCACGGCUAACUACGUGCCAGCAGCCGCGGUAAUACGUAGGUGGCAAGCGUUGUCCGGAUUUAUUGGGCGUAAAGCGAGCGCAGGCGGUUUCUUAAGUCUGAUGUGAAAGCCCCCGGCUCAACCGGGGAGGGUCAUUGGAAACUGGGAGACUUGAGUGCAGAANUAGAGUGNCC